GCUCCCAUGGCGUAGUGGAUCACUGCGCUCGCCUUGCACGCGGGAGACCCGGGUUCGAUUCCCGGCGGGGUCA
rnacentral:tRNA from 1 species